GGGCCCGCACAAGCGGUGGAGCAUGUGGUUUAAUUCGAUGAUACGCGAGGAACCUUACCAGGGCUUAAAUGCAGAACGACCGGGAUAGAAAUAUCCCUUUCUUCGGACGGUCUGCAAGGUGCUGCAUGGUUGUCGUCAGCUCGUGCUGUGAAGUGUCGGGUUAAGUCCCAUAACGAGCGCAACCCCUAUUUCUAGUUGCCAGCGGUUCGGCCGGGGACUCUAGAGAAACUGCCAGCGUAAGCUGUGAGGAAGGUGGGGAUGACGUCAAAUCAUCACGGCCCUUACGUCCUGGGCCACACACGUGCUACAAUGGUGGGGACAACGAGUCGCAAACCCGCGAGGGUAAGCUAAUCUUCAAACCCCAUCUCAGUUCGGAUCGGAGUCUGCAACUCGACUCCGUGAAGUUGGAAUCGCUAGUAAUCG
rnacentral:rRNA from 1 species